UACAGAGGUGGCAAGCGUUGUUCGGAAUUACUGGGCGUAAAGCGCACGUAGGCGGCUUCUUAAGUCAGGGGUGAAAUCCUGGAGCUCAACUCCAGAACUGCCCUUGAUACUGAGAGGCUCGAGUCCGGGAGAGGUGAGUGGAACUCCGAGUGUAGAGGUGAAAUUCGUAGAUAUUCGGAAGAACACCAGUGGCGAAGGCGGCUCACUGGCCCGGUACUGACGCUGAGGUGCGAAAGCGUGGGGAGCAAACAGG
rnacentral:rRNA from 1 species